rnacentral:rRNA from 1 species
CCUACGGGUGGCUGCAGUGAGGAAUAUUGGUCAAUGGGCGGGAGCCUGAACCAGCCAAGCCGCGUGAAGGAAGAAGGCGCUAGGCGUCGUAAACUUCUUUUGUCGGGGAACAAAGGGCGCCACGCGUGGCGUUGUGAGCGUCCCCGAAGAAAAAGCAUCGGCUAACUCCGUGCCAGCAGCCGCGGUAAUACGGAGGAUGCGAGCGUUAUCCGGAUUUAUUGGGUUAAAAGGGUCCGUAGUCGGUGCGGAAAGUUAGCGGUAAAAGCCCGGGGCUCAACCCCGGCGAGCCGUUGAAGCUGUCGAGCUAGAGACGGCGAGAGGUACGCGGAAUGCGCGGUGUAGCGGUGAAAUGCAUAGAUA